rnacentral:rRNA from 1 species
AUUGAACGCUGGCGGCGUGCUUAACACAUGCAAGUCGAGCGGUAAGGCCCUUUCGGGGGUACACGAGCGGCGAACGGGUGAGUAACACGUGGGUGACCUGCCCUCAGCUCUGGGAUAAGCCUGGGAAACCGGGUCUAAUACUGGAUAUGACUCCAUGACGCAUGUUGUGGGGUGGAAAGCCUUGUGCGGCUGAGGAUGGGCCCGCGGCCUAUCAGCUUGUUGGUGGGGGAUGGCCUACCAAGGCGACGACGGGUAGCCGGCCUGAGAGGGCGACCGGCCACACUGGGACUGAGACACGGCCCAGACUCCUACGGGAGGCAGCAGUGGGGAAUCUUGCGCAAUGGGCGAAAGCCUGACGCAGCGACGCCGCGUGAGGGAUGACGGCCUC